UGCAGAGAUAGCUGAGACGGAUUAGUGCUACCCUGAAAAGGUAGAAAGGAUGGAUCGUUACCAUCUCUCUGCACCAA
rnacentral:tRNA from 1 species